CAGCCGCCGCGGGAAUACGAAGGGUGCAAGCGUUAAUCGGAAUUACUGGGCGUAAAGCGUGCGUAGGCGGUGAGUUAAGUCUGCUGUGAAAUCCCCGGGCUCAACCUGGGAAUGGCAGUGGAUACUGGCUCGCUAGAGUGUGUCAGAGGAUGGUGGAAUUCCCGGUGUAGCGGUGAAAUGCGUAGAGAUCGGGAGGAACAUCAGUGGCGAAGGCGGCCAUCUGGGAUAACACUGACACUGAGGCACGAAGCGUGGGGAGCAAACAGGAUUAGAGACCCGCGUAGUCCCUGUCUCUUAUACA
rnacentral:rRNA from 1 species